AGCGAACGCUGGCGGCAUGCCUAACACAUGCAAGUCGAACGCGAAAGAGGGGCAACUCUCGAGUAGAGUGGCGGACGGGUGAGUAAUACAUAGGAAUCUGCCCUAGAGUGGGGGACAACCUGCCGAAAGGUGGGCUAAUACCGCAUAAUCUCUAUGGAGCAAAGGUGGCUAGCAAUAGCUUCCGCUUUGGGAUGAGCCUACGUCGGAUUAGCUAGUUGGUAGGGUAAUGGCCUACCAAGGCGACGAUCCGUAGCUGGUCUGAGAGGACGAUCAGCCACACUGGAACGGCGACACGGUCCAGACUCCUACGGGAGGCAGCAGUGGGGAAUAUUGGACAAUGGGGGCAACCCGGAUCCAGCAAUGCCGCGUGUGCGAUGAAGGCCUGCGGGUUGUAAAGCACUUUUGUCCGGAAAGAAAUCGCCCUGGCUAAUAUCCGGGGUGGAUGACGGUACUGGAAGAAUAAGCACCGGCUAACUACGUGCCAGCAGCCGCCGUAAGAC
rnacentral:rRNA from 1 species